rnacentral:rRNA from 1 species
AUUGAACGCUGGCGGCAGGCCUAACACAUGCAAGUCGAGCGGAUGAAGGGAGCUUGCUCCUGGAUUCAGCGGCGGACGGGUGAGUAAUGCCUAGGAAUCUGCCUGGUAGUGGGGGAUAACGUCCGGAAACGGGCGCUAAUACCGCAUACGUCCUGAGGGAGAAAGUGGGGGAUCUUCGGACCUCACGCUAUCAGAUGAGCCUAGGUCGGAUUAGCUAGUUGGUGGGGUAAAGGCCUACCAAGGCGACGAUCGGUAAGUGGUCUGAGAGAAUGAGAAGUCACACUGGAAGUGGGACACGGUCCAGACUACUACGGGAGGCAGCAGUGGGGAAUAUUGGACAAUGGGCGAAAGCAUGAUCCAGUCAUGCCGCGUGUGUGAAGAAGGUCUUCGGAUUGUAAAGCACUUUAAGUUGGGAGGAACGGCAGUAAGUUAAUACCUUGCUGUUUUGACGUUACCAACAGAAUAAGCACCGGCUAACUUCGUG